UACACGCAAAGAUGCAAUGGCAAGAGAGCAGAAAUUAAACAAGGUCAAUCAAAAGACAUUUGAUUGAUAGAAUACAAGACAGUAUAAAACUUUGUGAAUAAAAUUGAGUGCGGGAUAGUGGCGGACGGGUGAGUAACGCGUGAAUAAUCUGCCCCAUACAGGGGGAUAGCCUCGGGAAACCGGGAUUAAAACCGCAUAACACUUUAUCACCGCAUGGUGAUGAAGUCAAAUCGAUUAAGAGGUAUGGGAUGAGUUCGCGUCUGAUUAGCUAGUUGGCGGGGUAAAGGCCCACCAAGGCGACGAUCAGUAGCCGGCCUGAGAGGGUGACCGGCCACACUGGAACUGAGACACGGUCCAGACUCCUACGGGAGGCAGCAGUGGGGAAUAUUGCACAAUGGGGGAAACCCUGAUGCAGCGACGCCGCGUGAGUGAAGAAGGUCUUCGGAUCGUAAAACUCUGUCCUUGGUGACGAAGGAAGUGACGGUAACCAAGGAGGAAGCCCCGGCUAACUACGUG
rnacentral:rRNA from 1 species